GCGGACCUACGGGGCCGUUCACAAUAGGGGCCAACCCGGCCCCGAAAGCAAAACGGAAGACAGAGA
rnacentral:ncRNA from 1 species